rnacentral:tRNA from 1 species
GGGCGAUUAGCUCAGUUGGUUAGAGCAUCUGCUUUACAAGCAGGGGGUCUCAGGUUCAAAUCCUGAAUCGCCCA